rnacentral:rRNA from 1 species
UACAGAGGUCCCGAGCGUUGUUCGGAUUCAUUGGGCGUAAAGGGUGCGUAGGCGGCGGGGCAAGUCUGAUGUGAAAUCCCGGGGCUCAACCCCGGAACUGCAUUGGAUACUGCCUUUCUUGAGUACUGGAGAGGGAACUGGAAUUUACGGUGUAGCAGUGAAAUGCGUAGAGAUCGUAAGGAAGGCCAGUGGCGAAGGCGAGUUCCUGGACAGUUACUGACGCUGAGGCACGAAGGCCAGGGGAGCAAACGGG